GACUCACAAGUUUGUAAGCUUUCACUGUUAAAAAGUUAUGAGAUCUCUAGUAGAGUCAAGGUAGAGUCAAGCUAGCUUCGAUUUGUACUGCCCAUGGGGCCUAGCCCAAGUCCAAAGUAUGUAGCUCUUAAGUGCUCUUGACUGUACCUCAUUUAUAACAAUCAAAACCAAAUAACUUUACUUAUAAGUCCUGACUCUACAAACCCUACAUCUUGGUAAAAUGUAUGGUUUGGCCGUUUAAUAUUUAAAUCUGGAAA